rnacentral:rRNA from 1 species
AACGAACGCUGGCGGCAGGCCUAACACAUGCAAGUCGAGCGAGGACUUCGGUUCUAGCGGCGGACGGGUGAGUAACGCGUGGGAAUGUGCCCUUCUCUACGGAAUAGCCCUGGGAAACUGGGAGUAAUACCGUAUACGCCCUAUUGGGGAAAGAUUUAUCGGAGAAGGAUCAGCCCGCGUUGGAUUAGGUAGUUGGUGGGGUAAUGGCCUACCAAGCCGACGAUCCAUAGCUGGUUUGAGAGGAUGAUCAGCCACACUGGGACUGAGACACGGCCCAGACUCCUACGGGAGGCAGCAGUAGGGAAUCUUAGACAAUGGGGGCAACCCUGAUCAAGCCAUGCCGCGUGAGUGAUGAAGGCAUUAGGGUUGUAAAGCUCUUUCAGCUGGGAAGAUAAUGACGGUACCAGCAGAAGAAGCCCCGGCUAACUCCGUG